GCAGUUGAAUAUGGUAGAAGUGGGAAUUGAAGCCAGGUGUGCCUCACUCCAAAGGUUACACCCCUGCUGCCCUGACAAGUAACAAUGGGCCUCUUCCAGUGAAAUGCUUCCGUGGUUGCCUGCUGCUCUUGGUUUUGGUGUCAUCUUGUUUUACGACUUCCCUGCACAUCCUGAUUUGAGGACAAGAACGAACGAGAAGAUUUAAAGUGAAAAAGGACAUUGAGUUGAUUUGAAUGAGAAAUAUAUCUGCAAGGAGAUAGAGCCUUGCUUUGUUCUCUAGGCUGGAGCAUGCUGGCGUGAUCACGGCUCACUGCAGACUCAAGCAACCCUCCAACCUCAGUCUUCUGAGUAGUUGGGACCACAGGCUGGAGUGCAGUGACACCAUCAUAGCUUACUGCACCCUUGAACGUCUGGGCUGAAGUGAUUCUCCUGCUUCCACUUCUCAAGCGGCUGGGACUACACAGUCAUGCACCACUACA
rnacentral:lncRNA from 1 species